rnacentral:lncRNA from 1 species
CAAAGUGUGGUAGUAACAAAUUAUGUGCCAAAGGUACUCUUUGCAAAGUUUUACCCAUUCAUGUAAGUCAUUGUUAUUUUUUAUUUAUUUUUAAAUAAAAUAAAAAAGAAAUUCGAGUCAUUGUUCGCUUUAUAUUAUGAUCUACGUGAUGAAAUAUUUUGUGUUAAUUAUCAUCAUUUUAUAGCUCAUUUAUAUUAUAGUUGACUAUUUUUCCUUUUAGGAACACAACUAGUGUAUUUAGAGUGCAUGAGUAGUAUUUCUCUUUAUUUUCUAAUUAAUCAUUUUCUCUUUAUUUUCUAAAGAGUAUAAAAGGAGAAGUUGGAAAAAAAAGUAAACUUUAAGGAAUGAAAUAAGGUGAAGAAAGUAGUGGAUAGAAGUUUUAUGACAUAGGAAAGUUAAGAGAUUUGAAUUCAUUUUGGAGGAAGAAUACAAUAAAUUAUAAUGAAUGAAUAGUAAAAUGGUGUGGAAAUGUUAUAUAAGGAGAGUCGAUUAGAUUUUUACCAACUUCCAAUCAAUCGUAAUUGUUAUAUAAGGAGAGGUAAUUAAAUUUUUAAAAUUACAUUGUAUCUGUUUAUCAAUAAAAAAAUUAAAUCGUAUUUAUUUAUUUUAGACAAUAUUUCUUAUAUAAAUUUAUAGGAAAUAUUGUCUGAAAAUGUGUAUGAUUAUUAUAUUAGAAUUUUUUUAUUUGUAAUUUUACUUUGUGUGGGACAUGAGUUCAAUUACACUAUUUGAUAUCAUAAAAGAAAGAAAGAUAUAUGUUUUUUAAUAAAAGAAAUUAAAUAGAGGAUAAAAAUUUAUAUUGUUCGAUUAAAUAUCUUGUUUCGAAUUUGAAUAUGAGAUCUUACACUUAUGUGGGUUAUUUAUGGUGAUAUUUUUCGUAUAUUUUAAAAUAAAAUAAAAAUUAAUUAGAAACAUUUUUGUAAAAAAAUCACUAAUGUAUAUUAAAUUUUGAAAAUUAUCUUAUAUCAAAGAAUAAGCAAAAAGUAAAAUUUUACCUAAAAAAAGAAAAGUAAAAUUAUAAUCUCUCUGCCUUGGGAUAAUUUUCAUAUUUGAAAAAAUUAAUUAUCUCAAAAUAAUUGUCAAUUUCAAUUUUCAAUUAAUGUAAUAUUGAUAAUUACUUUUGAAUUUAAUUAUUAUGUUCUGUCAGUAUAAAAUAUUUUACGUUGUCAACAUAUCACAAUCAUUCAUAUAUAUGACUUUCAAGAUAAUCUUGUUAAAGACAAAUAUUUCUAAUGAUCUAAUAGUUGUGAUUGAUUGAAAGUGUAAAAAUUAUUUAUAUUUACGAUGUAUAUAAAUUAAAUUUAUUAUUUUUACUAUUUAUACUUUUAAUUAAUAUUUAUGCAUUACUUUCAAGUUAUUAUUUUUCAUUAUACAUUUAUAACAAUGAGAAUCAACCAACUAUUUAAAACGUUUAUUUACUAGCGCCCAAUUCAUCUUAAAAUCAUAUGUUAAGUUAAAAAAAAAUAUUUUAAAUCAAAGUAUUUGUAAUCCUUUCUUUCUAUUUAUAUCUUCCUAUUCCUUUUAUAUCAUAUCCUAACAAUUUUAUAACUUGAUAAUUGUGUACUAUCAAAUAAUGAUAUACUUUGAUUAGACACAUCUGUAUAAUUUGAUUUUAAAAUGAAUUUCUCAAGAUAAUUACUUAAAAAAAAUAUCUUCGUUAUACUAUUAAGAAUAUUGAGUUUAAGCAAUUAUUGUUGAAAAGUUAUUACAAUACAUUCUCUAACACAAUAUUAUCAAUACAUUUUUUUUUUGUUAAAAUUUAAAUUAUUUCCACAAUGUUUAAUUUCACAUAUUUAAAAUCAAGAUAGUCAUCAUUAACAUAAACUUCAAUGAUACAUGGAGAUCUUAACAAUUUAUUUUCAUUCCAAUGAUCUUUACUUUACAAACAACAACAUAUUCAUUUUUUUUUUGGAAAUUUUUUCUACUAAAAUUGUUAGACUUCAUUUCAUUUGUAGGAACAAACUUUUUCCUACUAAAAUUCACUAAAAAGUAGAACAACGUGAAAUCUAUUUUAGAAAACAACCUAUUAAAAUUUGAAAAUUUUGAAUACUAUAAAACUUUUUAAAAAUUAUAAAAAAUCUUGAUUGAAUAUCACUACAUUGCUAUAUUUUGUUUAAAAUAUUUAAAUAAUCAUAUUUGAAUAUCUCAAGACUUAUUUUAAUUACCUUAAAAUCUUGAUUGAAUACCACAAUAAUAUUUUUCUAACACAAAAAAGUCUUUUAAAAUUCUAAUCCAAUGCACCCCUAAAUCUCAAAAUAAAUAAGUCGUGUAUGGAAAAAUAAUUAAUUAUUAUCCUAUUAGUAAUACUAGCCUAUAUAUUUAUGCAAUGCGAGUGUAAAAAUUGUUAUCGUAUAAGUUAUCACAACCAAUCAUGUGAGUGUAAAAAGUGUUACUGCACUACAACCAAUUAUGUCACCGACUUUAAAAAUAUUUGUGAUAAAAGUCAAUUUUUAUAACAAUUAAGUGAUUAUGAUUGAUUGUCAGGAUAAAAUCUAUUUACAAUGAUAUUAUAUUUGAAUUAAAUUUUAUAUUUUUAUCUAUUAAAUGAUCCUUGUUAUUUAUCAUUUUUAAAGUUCACAAUGUUGCAAAUCUCUCUAUCAUUCAAAAAUAAAUAAAAAUAGAUUGCGCCAUCAAACACACGGCAUCAAAACUAUAAUGAACCUAAAUAUAAAAAUUAAAUGAGUUAAAGAAUAUAGAAAAAUACAAAGUGAUGUAUUGGUUCUCCUACUUCGUCAACACAUAUAAAGUACAUGUUGUCCCUAAUCAUAGAAUGAGAAUUUCUUCUUUUAUUUUCAAUUAGAAUUAUUACAAGUUCACAAUGUUGCAAAUCUCUCCACAUACUUUUAUCUAGAAAUUAUUCAAUAAAUAUACUUAUAAUCAAAUGUACAUUUUUGUCUUAGAAAAUCGAUCAACGAAAUAUCAUAUUUUUACUAAUUGAUCGAUGUCAAAAUUUAAUCAUUUAUGCUUUGUAUAAUAAGUUAUAACUAAUGGAUCACUUGUUCUUAUUUUUUUGUGAAAUAUGAAAACAAAAAUAUAUUAAUAAUCAAAUAUAUAUUAUUAAUAUAAAGAAAGAUGAUGAAACAAGAUCAUGAGAAAGAGAGAGAGAAGAAGAACUAAAGAAGAAAAUAAUAUGAGAGUGACACGUUGUUUGAGAGUAAAGAAAAAGUAUAAAUGAUAUUUAAUGGAAAAAAAGGAGAGGAAAAUAAAUAAAAAUGAGGACGAAAGAUUAAGAAAUUGGGAUGUCAAGUUUUUAAAGAUGGAUAAUUUGAGUUUUUUUAAUUGUGAUUUGCUUUUUUGAGAAAGAAAAGAAAUAUAUAUAUAUAUAUAUAUUUAUAUAUAUAUAUAUAUAUAUAUAUAUAUAAAGUUAUUUUUUGAGAGAAAAAAUAAUAAUAAAGAAUAAGAGAAGAAUGAAGACAUAAUUAACUUUAAAAAUGAUGAUGUGUCAAGUUUUUAAAGACGAAUAAUUUGGAGUUUUAUAUGAUAUAUAUUUAUAGAUAUAAAAUAAAAUAGAUGAGUGAAAAAAAAAAGAUUAAUGAGUGAGUAAAUGAUGGUUUAGUAGCGUAUACAAUUAUUUUUUAUGUAAUCUAUAUUUCAUAUUUUAAUUCAUGUGUCAAAAACUUUAAACCGCUUCUAAAUAGGCAGACAUAUAGAAGACAAGAAAAUAUGUAAACUGGUAUAAAAAAAAUUAAUAUUAGAAAUUAAAAUAUUUUUAAUCAUACAUAUAUAAUUAUUAAUUAUGUCUUUAAGAAAAUGACCCCAAAUUUAUUUUAUCAUUAUGGCUACCUUUUCAAGUCUUCAUUAGUGGUUUAAUUUUUCAUUUAAUGCAUGGGAGAUCUUCUGAUAUUACCUUUUGGGAACUUGAGUAAUCAAUUAAAAAAAAAUUCAUAUUUUCAUAUCACUUAAUUUUUGGAAGGGUGAAAGCAGCUUUCAAAUGAAAUAUUAAAAAGAAAAAAGAAUCUGAAUUAUUAAUAUAAAUAAUGCAUUUUUUUCCACAAAGAAGCCACAGAUUUUCUUUUAAAAAAUUUUAUAUGCAUUUUGGAGAGUAUAUAAAAUUAUACAAAUUGUAGAAUAGAAUAAAAGUAUAAAUAUCAUGAGAAUCUACUAAUUGAUUGCUUUUAUUAAAAUUAGUGACAUACUUGUAAAUUGAUAGGAGUUCAAGUAAAUUAAUUAAUAGUAUGAUAGUAACACGAAAAUGCAUAGAUUAAGUCAAAGUAAUUGUCUAUUAUAAAAAAUAAAAAGUCCAAGUAAUUGUCAAACAAUGAAAGAAGGUGAAGGAAUGAGUGCAACUUAUUGUUUUGUGACCUCUCAAGUUUAUCAUUCUUUAGUUUUGAUUUUUUUUUCUCACCUCUCAAGUAGUAUUAUAUAUUAUAUGAUAAUACAAAUAAUUUUUUAUAAGGUUUGUGCAAAGUUGUGAUUAAUUAACAACGCAACGACUUGAAUUUACAAUGCAACAUUUGUAAUAGUAAAAAUUGCAAAAUCAUUAAUGCAAUUGGGUUCGAGGUUGCAACCGUUAUUUAAAACUUUGAUUGUUUUAAUUUAGUUUGCAUUUUAGCUUCUUCCUUAUGGUAGAUAAGCAAUUUAGAUUCGAUUACUUUUUGGAAGUACAUAUUCAUUCAACUGAUGAAUUUAGUACGUUUAUAUAAAUGGUGGGUGGUACACUUAACACUACAAGAAAAUGUCUUCUUCCCCCUGAAAAUGUUCAAGAGGCCCGAUCCUAGGGAAAAUAUGUGUUUCCAAGAAAUAAAUCUCGCGCAUGGAUAUAACUCUUCUAAAGUGAGAAGUUAAUGAAGUGAGUGCAUCAAUAGUUAAUAUUAUAAUCACUUAUGAUUGGUCAUGCACGAACGCAAAAUUAUAAUCAUUCAUUUUAUGAUAAAUAAUUGACAUUACUCACUUUAUUCUUUAAAGUAAAUUAUUCACUUUAGAUGAGUCAAAUUCCUCUGGCACACCCCUCAUAAAACUACAACAGUAUAUUUUUUUGAAAAAAAUAAAUUUCACAAGAGUUGAUCCUUCAGAACAUUCUCGAUGAGAUAAAAAUAAUCGAGUAUCAAAGAGUGAUGAAUUUGCAAAGGGUACAACCUUGUGAAAAGAUUUUGAUGACUGAUUUGAACAUUGGUCAAACAUAUGAAGACCCUUUGUGAGGAGCUACCCUAUUUUAAUGUUGAUUUUUAUUAUUUGAUAGAAAAUCUAUUAACAAAUAAAUAUUUAGUGUGAGGUUUUUGAACAAGUUAAAAAGUAAGUUUCAUAAACACAUGUUUUAGAAUGUUGUGUGCUUCACAUUCAACAUUCACAUUCAAAUUUUUUAAGUUAAGAAUUAGAAUGUAAAUGUAUCACAUGAUAACAUUGACAUCUUAAUUAUCUUAGUACCUCGAAACUAUCCCAUAUUAUUUUAUUUGUAGCAUCCUAAUAAAUUUAUUGAAUAAAAAGUUUGGGGAGACUAGGCUAAAACUUAAGGAAAUAAGGAUGGACAACAUUAUCUCGUACAAAACUUUACUUGAAAAAUCAAUGGGUUAAAAUCAAGGUAAAACGAAAAAAAAGUACAUGCGUAAUAAAACAAACAUAAAAGAAUAAUUAAUGAAAACGGAAAAAGGUAAAUUAUAUCAAUUGAGGUAAAAAUAAUUACAAAUAUAACGUAGCGACAAAUUCCAAAAGUAAAACAACGAGUGUAAAAAUCAAUGUUAGCAAAUUUGUAGUGCACACAUAUUACUUUUUCUAUAAAUAUAAGAGAUGUGAAAUUGUAUUUGUCUUGUAAGAGAUAUACAAUUCAACCACCUAGUCUUCAAUUUUCAAAGCACAAAAUUAGAAUUAGUGAAUGAUUGGACGACAAACAAAGAAUCAUACUCUAUCAAAAAACAAAACUAACUUUAAGAGUGAGCGAUAUGAAUAGUAUACAAAAAAGUUCGGCAUGAAACGAUCUAACAACACCCAAAUAAUCUGAUAAGCAAUCAACAAUAGCAUAAAAGAUAAGAUUACCUUUAAAUGUGUCAUUAGUAUUUCAUUUAAUCCAACUACAAGGAAGCGUAUUUCAUUUAAUCCAACUACAACCAAACUUCAACCAAAUAAUUUGUCUAUUAACAAAGACUUUAGAAUCAUGACAAUCAAUAGAAACAUAUUUAAAAAUAAAGAGAAUGACGUCCUUCACCUGAUAAUUUUAAUUUUUACUACAUAUACCAAGAAUAUAGAAGACGACAUAAAAGUCAAUUCUAAUACACAAAACAUAGAAUAACCGAUUCCAUAGCCAAGUAGAAAAAACACAAUCAAAGUAAAGGUGAACAAUAAUCUCAUAAGCCUGAGAGUAAAGCCCACUUAAUACAUAAAUGGUAAGCAUAACAAUUACCACUAAAUACUUAUUUGUAAUGGAAACAUAAGGACCACUAUCACCAUUUCAUUCAUUUGUGUCUUUCUCUACGAGAUCAUUAAAUUUAAAUUAAAAAAAAAAUCAAUAAUUAAUUUAUAAAAAUAAAGAUUAAUAAUUAUACUUAAUAAGUCAAUUAAUUAAUAGAUGAAUUUAUAUUUAAUUGUGAAUACAUAAUUUUUAAUGAUUUCUUCACGUGUCAUUAGUUAAUAGAUGACUUUUUACCAAUCAAUUAGUUAAUAAAUAAAUUUAUAUUUGAUUAUUAAUUUAUCAUUUGAAUAUCUAAUAAAUAAAAUAUAAUAAAUUUCUAUAUACAAUUAAAAUUUAUUAAUUUGUAUAAAGUUAAUAUUUUGCUAGUAUGUAUAUAAAAUAAGAUUUUGCUACAAUAUUUAAAUGCUAACUAGAAAGAGAAUUUGCAUUCUGAACAAAGUAACCGACAUACAACUAACUAUUUAAAAAGUGGCUUUAUAGUAUGGAAUAAUUCCAUUUAUUAUAAUGAUAAUGAAUCUCACAUUUGAUAAAAUUGAUGUCUAACUUUUAUGCAAAAAUAUUUUGUAUUGACAAACAACCACGUUGUUGUAUUAAAGUGACAUUAUUACUAGCGAUUCUAAAGUGAUUUCAUAUUUUUUUUAAUUUACAAAAUUAAACUCAUACCAUUUUACUAAUAACAUAAUUCUUAAAAUAAUAUAUUUCUUAAAAAAAUGUAAAUUGAAUAAUAUGUAAACCUGGACUAGGUGGGUUUUGCCCAGAAUCAACCCUUCCACGCAAAAAGGGCUUUUUGUGGAUAAGUUUUGACUCUUGGUGCUACCUAAUGAUCAAGAGUUUUUCUUCUUUUUUUUCUUCUCUUGAAGAUGAGUGAUGUAAGACAUUUUGUAGACGAAAAUUACUCUUGUAAAUUCUACUUAUUAUUAUUUUAUUUAAAUAAGUAAUUUUUGUAUAUAUUUAGUUUUUUUUUUUGUUUUAUUAACUUAUGAUUUUGUCGUCUGAGUGCGACGUUUGUUUUAUUUGUCGUUUUAGUGUGGCGUGUUUAAUUUUUGGUUUUAUUGCGAUAUUCAUUUGGUUCACAUUAACCGAUCAACAUCGACCUGAUACAAAUUCAAUUAAUGAUUUUGAUGUAUUCAAUGUUCCAAAUACAUGUGUAUUUCAGACACUUCAAUUUUUUUAUGUUUAUAAGUUGUAUCAUAUUUAUAUAUAUUUUUUCUUUCUGUUUUAUGUAAUUAACAUGAUAUGUGAGUUUGUUCGCAGAAUCAUUUUUUUUUAUAAUUUUAUUGUAUAUUUUUAAUUGAUAGAAUUUUUAUCAAUUUAAAUGAACAAAUAUCAAUUUUAAUAUAACAAACACUAUAUAUAUAAGUUUUAACUAACUUUCAAUUUAUUUUUUAUUAGAUUAUGAAUAAACAAUAAGACCAGAAAAUCAUCAUCCAAGGUGAGAGGAACAACCAAUCUCAACCAAAUUUUUAUGAUGGGAAUUACAUUUAACAUAUCAAUGAGAGAAUUUUAUGAACUCAAAUCUAUAAGCUGCAUCUUAUAUCAGUGAGUAAAAUCUCCAACAAUCUAUGUCAAUUAUAUGGGGCUUAAAUCAUGUCUUGUUGCAAAAUAAAUAGUUAGAAUAAUCACAUUUGUGCGUCUUUCUUUUCUAUGUACAGUAGUGUCUUUUGUAUAUGAGACGGUA